rnacentral:lncRNA from 1 species
GCAAUUUAAAGUUCUCCAUAUCACCGACAGCUUUUUUCCAGGUCUGUUGGUGAAAUAGCAAGUUACUUCGCCAAUCUUUUUCUAUGGUUAAAUAUAGUAAUGACAUAGUACUAUGCAGGUUAAUACUCUUGCUGCAGAAAGAUUGUAUAGCCUUGCUGGUGAUUGGGCUAACCUCAAUUCGGACACGUUACUUUUUGACGUAUGUUGUGGGACUGGAACUAUUGGUCUGACCUUAGCACAUCGUGUUGGAAUGGUGAUUUCUUUUGCCAAUUCAUAUGUUUUUAAGUGUUUGUCAUGUAAUAUAACACAUGGGCCAGAUCUGAGCUCUUAUUAACUUAUGUAGCUUAUUAGAGGAAUCUGUUUUCUUUGGAAUAAUCUUUUCAAAUCUAGUUACUAAUUGUGGCAGGUUGUUGGGAUUGAAAUGAAUGAAUCGGCAGUUUCAGAUGCUCACAGAAAUGCUCUUAUUAACGACAUAAAAAAUUGCCGAUUUGUCUGUGGGAAGGUGAGGCUCAUAUCCCGUACAUGAAAUUACAGAACUUCUCUCAUUUUAAACUACCAUCAUUCUGUUCAGUUCCACUGACCUUUGCUGAAAUAAUCUCAUUUGAGUUCAUAUGUUGGGAUUAAAUAGGCCGAAGAUGUGAUCGGGUCCCUUCUCACAGAAUAUCUUGGUUCACCACAGCAACACAUUGCAGCUUCUGAAAGUAAUUCCAUAAUCAAUGAUACAAGAGAAAAUGAAGAUACAGUUGAUUGCCUAGAAAGCAAUGGUGAAAAUAUGGACAGUUCAACAGAGACAAACAACAAUGGUGAAAGUGAGCAGCCUGGAGACAUGUCAGUUGAUCUUCCCACUUGUGCUGGUGAUGAGGAAAUAAAGGAAGAUUCAAUGGAUAGGGUUAACAAAGAGGUUGAUUCCAGUCAUAAUGAACACAAUGAGGCUGCUGGUGAACAAAAAUGUGGGGAAGCAUCAUUGAUCAAUGAUGAGUGCACUGAUACAACAUUAUCUGAUAGUUUGGAGCCUGGCAGUGGCAAGACAUGCCAGGAUAGUUCUAUUCCAAACAAAAAUGUGCUUGAUUCUAGUGCAUGCAAGUUCAAAAACGUUGUUGCAAUUGUGGACCCCCCACGUGUUGGCCUUCACCCUACUGUAAGUAAAUUUCAACCUUUUGCUGAAAGUCAAUUUCAAAAAAAAAAACCUUUUGCUGAAAGGAUUGUGAUGUUAAUUACUGAAAAAUCUACAUGUUUUUUCCACUGCACAUUCAAAGGCCUGGCUAUCUUAGUGUAUUCCUCCAUAUGCCUUGAAAUUAUUCCUUAAUAAAUCUAAUAAUAGGUCUUGUUAUUUCUCAAAUAUUUUCGUGUUAAUACCUAGCAACUACUAGCUGAUAAAUUUGGAUAGUGAUUGUAUUUGUGUUAUAUAAUUAUGUUUAUUAUACUCACAUCCUGAGCAUCAUUAUAGGUGAUCAAGGCAUUGAGGACUCAUCCACUCAUUCGACGCCUAGUGUAAGUAUUCCUCGUACCAUCUUAUUGAAUAUACAACCGGGUCUGAAAUUCACAGCUUUUCUUCUUUUCUUUAAUUGCAGGUACAUUUCCUGCAAUCCAGAUAGCCUAGUUGCCAAUGCGAUUGAGCUGUGCACCCCAACAUCUGAGAAACAAGAAAAGAACAAAGGCAAUCGAGGGUGGCGAUCUAUGAGUGCUGCUGGUCUUGCUAGGCAGCGGACGAAGUCCAUGCCCAACUCUGAGCCUUUUAUACCCAAGAGGGCGAUGGCCGUGGAUCUGUUUCCUCACACCUCGCACUGUGAGAUGGUUAUGCUUUUUGAGAGGUGAAGGAAUGAAUUGUCUAUCCAUGCAAGGCAGCAUGCCUCAAUUUCUUGUUAGACAUUUUAACCAUGCUGUCGAGGACCACAUCAGUUUUCCUCAGCUUGGUCCUCAUGUUGUAACAUUCUUAGUAACAUCUAUUUGAUUUAGAAGGCAUGGCAUUUGAUGGUUACUGUUUGAGAUCUGCAUUACUUUGAUAGGAUCGGCUACUUCAGAUUCGUUACACAUUUUGUUUCCCUGUUAAAUGGAAGCCACAGGAUUUAAUUUAAGCACCAAAAUGUACCUGCCUCAGCUUUUCUAUGGAUGGUCCAACCUGGAGUGGCAUCCUUUUUCUUUUAGAGGACCAGGAGUGGCAUCCUAGUCAGGGAAAACCGUACAUAAGUACUGGGCCUAUUGUUGGCCCAAUUCCAACUGUGAUUGCACUUAUCUUUUUGUUCAUUGUUCUACCAGUGGGUCUGUUCCUUUUUAUUUGAUCUGACAGGAUUUGAAAGAGAACGACAUGUUCCUACCGAAAUUGCAUCAUCCUAAAUCAUGCCGUCUCAUUUCGAGUAUGACGUGUUAACAAUAGGGUAUUUGACAAUACUAGACCCUUUCAUAUUGGUUCCUAGGAUUAAAUUUCAAUGCCAUUAAGGGAAAAAAAUAUUACCUGUUCUCUUUUCCCGCUACAGUUAAGAGAGGCGAACCGGAGGCGAGCGCUGUUCCGGCGCCAAUCCCUCCGGUUCCCCCUCUUCUCCGGUGGCCGCGUCCGUGCCGGAGAGGGAGGGGAACUGGGGAUUUGGUUGUCCGACUGUAUAGCUCCUAGUCUAGCCUAGAUUUAGAUAGAGUAGCUUAGGGUUUCUGGGAUGUCACCGGCGACCAUGUCUUGCGGACUUGUCUUCCCCAGCGGUGGCAAUGGCGACGGCACUGCUUUGGGUCAAGAUUCAAGGAGGAGGUUUGUGCUUUGGGUCAAGAUUCCGGGUUGGCGAGUUUGUCGGCGGCAGUGGAUUUGCUUUGGGUUGGUUUCCGAUUGGGCUGCUUUGGUGCUCCAUGGCGGCCUGAUGUGAACGGUUCGGUUUCUGUGGUGCUGUUGGUCUCUUCGAAAGUGUCAGAACUGUGUUCCAGAAAGUGUCAGAACUGUGUUCUGGAACACAGGAGGUGGAGAGAAGGGGUUGUUAGAUUGGGAAGCUUGACGGCCGAUGUUCGUUUACUGAGGACUUCUUGCGGCUUAUACCUUUGUGUGUCGGCUUCUUGGUCUGGAUGCGAGGUAACGACGGCGGUGGUGUGUUAUGGAGUGCAGCGAUGCAGUUCGAGGACCGAGCAACAUAAGAAGAAGGGC